rnacentral:rRNA from 1 species
GUGGGGAAUCUUCCGCAAUGGACGAAAGUCUGACGGAGCGACGCCGCGUGAGUGAAGAAGGCCUUCGGGUCGUAAAGCUCUGUCAUCAGGGACGAAUGGCCGGUGGAGUGGAAAGCCACCGGAUUGACGGUACCUGAGAAGGAAGCCACGGCUAACUACGUGCCAGCAGCCGCGGUAAUACGUAGGUGGCAAGCGUUGUCCGGAAUUAUUGGGCGUAAAGCGCGCGCAGGUGGGAUCUUAAGUCCAUUUUGAAAGUUCGGAGCUCAACUCCGUGAUGGGAUGGAAACUGGGAUUCUUGAGUACCGGAGAGGAAAGCGGAAUUCCCCGUGUAGCGGUGAAAUGCGUAGAUAUGGGGAGGAACACCAGUGGCGAAGGCGGCUUUCUGGACGGUGUCUGACACUGAGGCGCGAAAGCCAGGGGAGCGAACGGGAUUAGAUACCCCUGUAGUCC